rnacentral:rRNA from 1 species
GACGAACCGUGCGAACGUUAUUCGGAAUCACUGGGCUUAAAGCGCGUGUAGGCGGCCCGGCACGUCCGACGCUGAAAGCCCCCGGCUCAACCGGGGAAGGGGCGCGGAUACGACCGGGCUGGAGGGGGGUAGGGGGCGCCGGAACUGCCGGUGGAGCGGUGAAAUGCGUUGAGAUCGGCAGGAACGCCCGUGGCGAAAGCGGCCCGCUGGCCCCUCUCUGACGCUGAGGCGCGAAAGCCAGGGGAGCAAACGGG